UUGAUUUUUCACUGUAUUCGGGAAGGAUGAGUUUUGAUGAUCAUUUCUUGUGCCUAAGGAUGCCAAAAGCCCACCGGACCAAAAUAAUAUUAAAGACAUCCAAGGAGAACAUCUCUGAAUGGGCAGCAAGAUUCCUCAGACAGGUCUUGCUCUGUGAUGUUUAGCAGUGAAUACGAAUGUUACCAAUGGACACUAGAGCCGAAAAUCACCUUGGAGGACACCUGCUCUGACUCCCUCAUUUCACAGCUGGCACCUUGGCUGGCUCCCUGGGAAAGACAACUGGACAACUCAUGGAAAAGUCAAGGAGAUAACCUCAGAAAUAAUUCUGCAAGGAGAUGCUGAACCAAGACUCAACCCCUUCUCACUCUGGAUCUUCCUUGUCAUUGUCAAACAAGAGAUUCGUGGAGGGGUUUAUAUAUUUCCAAAUGGGAUUGUAAAUGCUUAAAGCUCAUAGAAUGUUGGAUCUGGGAGGAGAUUCUCAAUUCAACUCAACCUUACAUCCUACGAGAAAGAAACAGAAAUCCAGAAAGUCAUGCAGUUAUAUGUAACCAAGAUGGAAACUAGAACCCUAUUUCCCGACUUCCAGAGGAAAAAGUU